GCCUACUUAACUCAGCGGUGAGAGUAUCGCUUUCAUACGGCGAGAGCCAUUGGUUCGAAUCCAAUAGUAGGUA
rnacentral:tRNA from 1 species